rnacentral:misc_RNA from 1 species
GCUUUUCCAGAAACAACUCCAAUCCUGCAAAAUCCAUGUACAAUCAUUUACAAAGCCUAGAUCAGUGUUAAAUCAGGCCAAGCACUCUGAAACAUUUGAAAUUUCCAGCUAGAAGAUUAUGCAAGGUGUGCAAGUGCAGACAACAGAAGCUGAAUCAAAAAUUCACAUGGAAGCCUACGCUUACAGUCUAAAAUAACAGAGCAACAGGAUUGUUAAAAAUCUAUAAGAUUUUCCAGUGUAGCAUGCAGGAUUUCCCCAGAUCAAAAUAAAAGUCCAAUUUUGACCUUCAAUCCCCAAAAAGAUGAGCAAACCAUUUAUUUGCAGCCAAGUAAGCCCCAUUAAAUUCCAAUAAGAAACCAACAAAUAAUUUGUAUAAACAUGUUGCAUAUUAAAAACCUAAGGAAACUUUACAGACAUGACACAUACGCAUCUUUCUGAUCCAGCAUGAUAUUUCACAUCAAUUGAGUGCUUAAGGAGAAGCACUGAUUAUCUUUUUUUCUUUUUCUUUUUUUUCUCUCAUGUGCUUUUAGUAAUUAAUCGCUCAUGACCUGAUCUGUUUUUAGUUUCAGUUUGGCAUACUUAAUGAUUGGUUUAAUUAGAUUCAGAAAUUCAGAUCGGGAACCUUGUGUGAUAGCGCUGGAUGAACUCUUCCUUUGCUUUAGAGAGAGUAGUUUCCUGCAAUACUUAUGGAAUUAAUUUCCUUGUUUUCAUUAGUCAUUAGAACUUUUAAAUAAUUAGUAUUGUGUUAUGCCCUUCUAGUGCCUGAGAUCACUUGUUACAAAAUAAAUUGCAGCACUCCUGGAAGUGUUGAUGGUCAUCCUAUCGUUAGCAGCAGGCUUCUGACAAAAAAUUUGGUCAUUUCACCUCUGUAUAGAUGCUCAUAAAAUUUAUUUGUUUACCACUUGCUAAUUCUAUAUUUUAGAUAGCUUGCCUUUGGAUUUGCUGUUAAUUAUCCUGGUUUUGUUUGAUAGCCUAAAGCUUUUUGAAUUUCUGUAAUUCAUAAGGUCAUUUUCUGAUGGCUCGAUCUGCAUUAGAUGAAAUGUCUGACUCGGGGGCUUUUUUGAGGACUGCUUCAACAUUCCGCAACUUUAUUUCACGAGACCCGAAUUGUCAAUAUCCAGCAGAAUCCGGAAGGUAUCAUCUUUAUAUAUCAUAUGCCUGUCCCUGGGCUUCCAGGUGCCUUGCAUACUUGAAGAUUAAAGGACUUGAGAAAGCUAUUAGUUUCACGUCUGCGAAACCCAUAUGGGAAAGAACCAAAGACAGUGAUGAACAUAUGGGAUGGGUUUUUCCUGCUUCAGAGACAGAGGAACCAGGAGCUGAGCCUGACCCUUUGAAUGGGGCAAAAAGUAUAAGGGAGCUUUAUGAGCUUGCAAGUACAAACUAUGCUGGAAAAUAUACAGUUCCUGUGCUAUGGGAUAAGAAGCUCAAGACAAUUGUUAAUAAUGAGAGUUCUGAGAUUAUUCGAAUGUUCAAUACUGAAUUUAAUGAUAUAGCUGAGAAUUCAGCUUUGGACCUAUAUCCUUCGCACUUGCAAACUCAGAUUGAUGAAACCAAUGAAUGGAUAUACAAUGGUAUAAAUAAUGGUGUUUAUAAAUGUGGGUUUGCAAGGAAGCAAGGGCCUUAUGAGGAGGUAAGCUAUUUAAUGGUGUAUUAUUUUGGGAUAAACGAGGCCAGGUAUGCAUUUAUUGAAUAUUUCUUUCCUUAGUUGAAAAUUUCAUUGGUCCGUCACUGCAGGCUGUUAAACUAUUGUAUGAAGCACUUGAUAAAUGUGACAGAAUACUUGGAAAGCAACGCUAUAUAUGUGGAAACACUCUGUCCGAAGCAGAUAUUCGGUUGUUUGUUUCCCUCAUAAGAUUUGAUGAGGUUUACGCAGUUCACUUCAAGUGCAACAAAAAGCUGCUAAGAGAGUACCCAAACCUGUUCAACUAUGCCAAAGACAUUUACCAAAUUCCUGGUAUGAGUAGCACUGUAAACAUGGAACAUAUUAAGCGUCAUUAUUAUGGAAGCCAUCCUUCUAUAAAUCCAUUUGGAACCAUUCCUCUUGGUCCAAAUAUCGACUUUUCUUCACCACAUGACAGAGAGAGGUUUUACUAGAUUAUGUGUGUCCGUGCACAUGCAUCUGAAGUAUGAAUGCUGGUUUCUUGGAAGACAGUGGAUUGUGUAUUGAUAUCAAGUCAUCGCAGAUACUGUGCUCUUAGCAUUGCCUGUAUGAGAUGCGUUGUUUCUCCUGACAUCAACUUUGAUAGGGUUU